GAUGAACGCUGGCGGCGUGCCUAAUACAUGCAAGUCGAGCGAACAGACGAGGAGCUUGCUCCUCUGACGUUAGCGGCGGACGGGUGAGUAACACGUGGAUAACCUCCCUAUCAGACUGGGAUAACUUCGGGAAACCGGAGCUAAUACCGGAUAAUCUAUUGAACCGCAGGGUUCAAUAGUGAAAGACGGUUUUGCUGUCACUUAUAGAUGGAUCCGCGCCGCAUUAGCUAGUUGGUAAGGUAACGGCUUACCAAGGCAACGAUGCGUAGCCGACCUGAGAGGGUGAUCGGCCACACUGGAACUGAGACACGGUCCAGACUCCUACGGGAGGCAGCAGUAGGGAAUCUUCCGCAAUGGGCGAAAGCCUGACGGAGCAACGCCGCGUGAGUGAUGAAGGUCUUCGGAUCGUAAAACUCUGUUAUGAGGGAAGAACAAAUGUGUAAGUAACUAUGCACGUCUUGACGGUACCUAAUCAGAAAGCCACGGCUAACUACGUG
rnacentral:rRNA from 1 species